GAUGAAGAACGUAGCGAAAUGCGAUAAGUAAUGUGAAUUGCAGAAUUCAGUGAAUCAUCGAAUCUUUGAACGCACAUUGCGCCCGCUAGUAUUCUGGCGGGCAUGCCUGUCCGAGCGUCAUUUCAACCCUCAAGCCCCCGGGCUUGGUGUUGGGGAUCGGCGAGCCUCCGCGCCCGCCGUCCCCUAAAUCUAGUGGCGGGCUCGCUGUAGCUUCCUCUGCGUAGUAGCACACCUCGCACUGGGAAACAGCGCGGCCACGCCGUUAAACCCCCAACUUCUGAACGUUUGACCUCGGAUCAGGUAGGAAUACCCGCUGAACUUAAGCAUAUCAAUAAGCGGAGGA
rnacentral:misc_RNA from 1 species